UACGUAGGGCGCAAGCGUUAUCCGGAAUUAUUGGGCGUAAAGAGCUCGUAGGCGGUUUGUCGCGUCUGCUGUGAAAUCUGGGGGCUCAACCCCCAGCCUGCAGUGGGUACGGGCAGACUAGAGUGCGGUAGGGGAGAUUGGAAUUCCUGGUGUAGCGGUGAAAUGCGCAGAUAUCAGGAAGAACACCUAUGGCGAAGGCAGCUCUCUGGGACGGUACUGACGCUGAGACGCGAAAGCGUGGGGAGCGAACAGG
rnacentral:rRNA from 1 species